GAUGAACGCUGGCGGCGCGCCUAAUACAUGCCAGUCGAGCGAACAGACGAGGAGCUUGCUCCUCUGACGUUAGCGGCGGACGGGUGAGUAACACGUGGAUAACCUACCUAUAAGACUGGGAUAACUUCGGGAAACCGGAGCUAAUACCGGAUAAUAUAUUGAACCGCAUGGUUCAAUAGUGAAAGACGGUUUUGCUGUCACUUAUAGAUGGAUCCGCGCCGCAUUAGCUAGUUGGUAAGGUAACGGCUUACCAAGGCAACGAUGCGUAGCCGACCUGAGAGGGUGAUCGGCCACACUGGAACUGAGACACGGUCCAGACUCCUACGGGAGGCAGCAGUAGGGAAUCUUCCGCAAUGGGCGAAAGCUUGACGGAGCAACGCCGCGUGAGUGAUGAAGGUCUUCGGAUCGUAAAACUCUGUUAUUAGGGAAGAACAAAUGUGUAAGUAACUAUGCACGUCCUGACGGUACCUAAUCAGAAAGCCACGGCUAACUACGUG
rnacentral:rRNA from 1 species